AUGGCGGAGCAGACUCGAUGGGCCGAAUGGCCUAAUUUCUGCUCCUAUGUCUUAUGGUCUAAUAACUGGACCAAGAGCAAUGUAUUUGUAUUGCUACAUUUUCAAAGCGUGCAAAAUGGUCAUUAAUUUGACAAAAAACAAACGAAACCAGAGGAAAGCACAUUUUUGAAUAUGCCCCAUCUUUUAGAGGUAUUGAAAUAAAACUCCAUUUACAAUGAGAGUCCUGAAUGAGCCACUUAACUGGGAAAAUGAAAACAGAAAAUAACAACGUAAAAAUAUUUGACACCAAGUGUCCGAAGGACCUGUGAAGAACACCCCUAAACCCCAAAGUGAACACUUACAUAGUUACCAAAAGAAAACAGCCAACUGUCUGAAGGGGAUCAACAGGAGUGACGGGUCAUGAAGGCUGCUCGCUGAUUGGAAUGAGAAAUGGCAGUGAUUGGAAAAUGAGCAUACAACUGGAAUGGACACAGUCCAGAGUUACAACGCACUGACUACUUAAAGAGGCGGCCUCAAGUUCCCUUUGAACACCCCUUUCCAUUGGGACUGGAGAGGAUUGUCCCAACACAGUGUGAUUUUCAAAAUGGAGCACUACAACUUCAGAUAUGCUUGGAGUCCCUGACAACAGCAUUCAUCAAACCAUUGAAAGAAGCACCAGCACCAACACCAACUUCCCCUGUUAGAGAUUGUUCCGUGACUCUCAUCUACCCUUACAUGGAAAAUGGAGCUUGAUUACACAUCUCCAAUUGCAGCUAUGUGCUCCCACAGUUUCCAGCUUCGUGAGAGUUGCAUGAAACACUAGAUCAGAGAGCUACUUCAGUGGCCUUCACUCCCUUGUGCUUUAAGCUGUGCAAUCUCAUACAAAGCCUUGUCCUACACAAUCCCCAAGGCAUUGCAAUCCAGCACAUCAAAUGUUUGUGGCCUGAUAAC